GCAGAUGAGCUGACAACUGAAGGAGGCUGGGAAACCAGAAUUGUCUGGGCCAAAUGGGAGUGAUCAGUAUGACCCAUGUUUUGGCCUGCCAGAUUUUCCUCAAGACUCGAGGAUGCUAAGAGGUUGCAGGACAAGGAGUCCCAAAGAUGGAAUAUGAUCUACUGAGUCAUGAAGCGGUCACUCGUGGUCCUGAGAGAAGCACCUGCCGAGGAGGUCUGCCUGGGUGUUGGGCACUCUCAAGACUGCAGGAUAUUGUCCUUGGCUGCUGACAGCACCUCUUGGUAGGACUUCCCGGUCAGUAACCAGUCCUCUAGGUAGAAGACGACUGAUGAUGAUUGGCAAGAGAAGUGAGCUGCUGCAACUGAGAUAACUUUGGUAAUCCCUUGGAACCAUUGCCAGGCUAAACAGAAGCACCUUGUAUUGGAAAUGUGAAUCACAAAGUGAAUUACAGGAACCAUCUGUGAGAUGGGUGGAUGUCCAUGGGAAAAUGGGCAUCCUUCAUAUCUACAGCUGUAAACCCAUCCCCUCUGUACAAUGACUGGAUCAUAGAUGCCAAAGGAAGCAUUCUGAAUCUCAGCUUGCAAAUAAAAA